AUUGAACGCUGGCGGAAUGCUUUACACAUGCAAGUCGAACGGCAGCACGGGGGCAACCCUGGUGGCGAGUGGCGAACGGGUGAGUAAUACAUCGGAACGUGCCCAAUCGUGGGGGAUAACGUAGCGAAAGCUACGCUAAUACCGCAUACGAUCUACGGAUGAAAGCGGGGGAUCGCAAGACCUCGCGCGAAUGGAGCGGCCGAUGGCAGAUUAGGUAGUUGGUGGGGUAAAGGCUCACCAAGCCAACGAUCUGUAGCUGGUCUGAGAGGACGACCAGCCACACUGGGACUGAGACACGGCCCAGACUCCUACGGGAGGCAGCAGUGGGGAAUUUUGUACAAUGGGCGAAAGCCUGAUCCAGCCAUUCCGCGUGCAGGAUGAAGGCC
rnacentral:rRNA from 1 species